rnacentral:rRNA from 1 species
AUUGAACGCUGGCGGCAGGCUUAACACAUGCAAGUCGAGCGGGGAAGGGUAGCUUGCUACCUAACCUAGCGGCGGACGGGUGAGUAAUGCUUAGGAAUCUGCCAUUUAGUGGGGGACAACAUUCCGAAAGGAAUGCUAAUACCGCAUACGUCCUACGGGAGAAAGCAGGGGAUCUUCGGACCUUGCGCUAAAUGAUGAGCCUAAGUCGGAUUAGCUAGUUGGUGGGGUAAAGGCCUACCAAGGCGACGAUCUGUAGCGGGUCUGAGAGGAUGAUCCGCCACACUGGGACUGAGGCACGGCCCAGACUCCUACGGGAGGCAGCAGUGGGGAAUAUUGGACAAUGGGCGGAAGCCUGAUCCAGCCAUGCCGCGUGUGUGAAGAAGGCCUUAUGGUUGUAAGGCACUUUAAGCGAGGAGGAGGCUACUAGUAUUAAUACUACUGGAUAGUGGACGUUACUCGCAGAAUAAGCACCGGCUAACUCUGUGCCAGCCGCCGCAGUAAGAC